rnacentral:rRNA from 1 species
AGACCCGAAACCCGGUGAUCUAGCCAUGGGCAGGUUGAAGGUUGGGUAACACUAACUGGAGGACCGAACCGACUAAUGUUGAAAAAUUAGCGGAUGACCUGUGGCUGGGGGUGAAAGGCCAAUCAAACCGGGAGAUAGCUGGUUCUCCCCGAAAGCUAUUUAGGUAGCGCCUCGUGAAUUCAUCUCCGGGGGUAGAGCACUGUUUCGGCUAGGGGGCCAUCCCGGCUUACCAACCCGAUGCAAACUGCGAAUACCGGAGAAUGUUAUCACGGGAGACACACGGCGGGUGCUAACGUCCGUCGUGAAGAGGGAAACAACCCAGACCGCCAGCUAAGGUCCCAAA